UUUUUUUUUUUUUUUUUUUUUUAGUAGAGAUGGGGUUUCACCAUGUUAGCCAGGAUGGGCUCAAUCUCCUGACCUUGUGAUCUGCCCUCCUUGGCCUCCCAAAGUGCUGGGAUUACAGGCUUGAGCCACUGUUCCCGGCCUUAUUUUUUUUUAUUUUAUCUGCCUUCCAUUCUGUGUGUUGGAGCACUGUCACCCCAAUUCUCCCAACCCAGACACUGGGACUCUCAUGGCCCCCCUCUCUCUGACUGCCAGGACCCCAGCCCUUGGGCCACACCCACUUCCCAUGCAGGCCUCUCUGAUUCUUGGAGGCCCAAUACCUGAGGUCUCCAUCGGGAGGCGAUGGCUAGGGGUUUGGUAGUGUGGGGAGCUGCACCUUUCACAGCAAGCUCAGCUCUUGCCCAAGCGGGAACAGCACAAAAGCAGGCUUCAUGGCAGGCAGAGGGGCCAAUGAUCUCUGGGCACCCCCACAUGAAUCCCAUCUUCGGGCCUCUAUUUCCGAGUUCCAUCACUGACAUGUGAAGUCAGUUGACUCAUCUCUCUAUGUUAAUAGGACAGUAACAGUUUUCCUCUACGAAUCUGAGAAGGCUGCUGAGAUGUUGCAGUGUACAGUGUAUGUGAGAUGGCCUCAUGGCCGGCAGAUCCCUUCCUGGUAUCAGGUAGUGUUCUAGGCAUUCUGAUUGGCCCAGGCAGAAGGUGUGUCAGAUGAGCAGCAGCAGAAGGAGAAGGGAAGCAGGCGCUUGGCUAGAAUCAUGCUUCUAAAUCACCAUGCCAGAAACUGGCACGCCAGAGAGAGUGGGAUUCUCCCUUUCCCUGCAUCACACAGGUGCUGGAGUGACGAGGACAGGUGUGCAGCAAGUGUGAGACACAGAGCAAUGGUUCAACAGCAGACUGAGGGGAAGGAGUCCUGGAUUUUGAGGGGGCCAAGCCUGAAAAUCUCCUCAGAAGCACUGAGCUGCCUGGGACUGUUAAUAGCGUCUCUCCAAGAUAGUGAGUCCUCCACCACUGAGGCAGGAAGGAAACUGUGAAGGCACCGAAGGAACUCACAAAGUCAGCAGCCGAAUCAGCUCUCAUCCCCGCAGCACGGAGCGGAGAGCAUUUUCCAUUCAUUCACGACUUUAUUCUGAAAGUUGGUCUUGAGUCUCUGGGCACCUGUGAGAUGCUGCCAUGAUGGUGCUGGAGGCUUAAAGGUGGUGAGACAAACCGGGGCACAUGGUGUGCUCAAUGCACAGCAACCCCAGGUAAAGUCUGUCCCUCUCUGUGUCCACGGUUCCCUGCAGUCCAUCUCUAGAACAUUCCCCCCAUGCUGCUUGGCACUUGUGAGCCCACUAGUUCACUACUGGGUUGUGAGGUCUGAUACAUACGUGAGCUUUGGGACCAGAAUGCCUGGGUUUAAAUCUUAUCUCCAACAUUUAGUAACAGUGCGACAUUGGUCACAUCGCUUAAAGUGCUCUGUGCCUCUAUUUGCUCUUUUGUAGAAUGGGAGCAUUAGCAUAGUCUCUGUAGGGUUAUUGUGAGGAUUAAAUAAAUGGAAAUAUAUAGAAACAUUGGACCUGAGCUAUUACAUGUUGUCUGGUAAUAGACAUCUGCAUAGUGGAGUGUCUGCUACAUAGUAGGUGCUCAGCGUAAGUCCACUGGAGAGCUGGGGGAACGACGGGAUAGAAGCACAGUUGGAAGUAGCUGACUUCAGUACUGAAGCAGAUGGCGGGUGGAGGGGUGGCCCUCACAGCACAGCGCUCACACGGGAGUGGAUUUUUACUCAGCCUCUGGCAGCCUGAUCUCAAAGCCAGGGCCCGGGAAAUAAACCAAGACAAUUUCUGGUGAUUAAAACAGAAAAGGGGAUGGACUGAGUUUGUAAAUAUAACUGCAAACACUUGGUAACUAAGCAAUUUGGCAAAGAUUCCCACUCUCGAGAGAGAAUUUUCCCUUUGAAAACUAAAUAAUAGCACACAGCAAUGACUUCAUGCAGGGCCUUGGGUGUGUGUCUGAGAGGGGCCAUCUUUUCACUGAUGGCCUGCAAAGCCCUGAGAGUCAGGUCACACACAAAUGUAGGGUCCCAGUCACUACUGGGCACGGUGGCAGGUCACUCCAGACUGGGGCCUUCCCACCCUGUCCUUCUGUGGCCAUUGCUCUGUUGGGACAUUGGCCCUGUCUAGAUCUUAUUCUCUGCGUUUUUCUCUUUUCUUUUCUUUUCUCUUUCUUUUCUUUCUUUUCUUUUCUUUCUUUUUUUUCUGUUGCCCAGGCUGGAGUGCAGUAGUGCUCACCAUAGCCUCAAGCUCCUGGGCUCAAACAAUCCUCCUGCCUUAGCCUCCCGAGUAGCUGGGACUACAAGUGUGUACCGCCACACCUGGCUAAUUUUUUAUAUUUUGUAGAAAUGCGGUCUUGCUCUGUUGCCCAGGCUGAUUUUAAACUCCUGGGCUCAAGCUAUCCUCCCACCCUGGACUCCCAAAGUGCUGGGAUUCCAGGCAUGAGCCAUCAGGCCCAGCUUUCCCUGCAUUUUCUGCAAGGCCUGCUCUACCAGCUGUGGUUUUCUCAAUUAAAUUUAUAACCCAGGCAUUUUAGCAAGUUUUUGCACCUGUGUCUUUUGCUCUUUCCCUGCAUUAGGGUUUAUUUGGAACCAAGGGUGAGCAGAUAGAGUUGCAGGAAACAUUUGGUGGUUGCGCCAUCUCCUUCCUGCACCAGAAGCACAAUGCUUUCGCUUCUUGACCUCACAGACCACGGGCAGGUGCCCCGCACCUUCCUCCGUUCCCACAGGUCAGGGUGCUGGGCUCUGCUCUUCUGAUUCUGCUGGUCUCCAGAAGAAAGUCUCUGCUCAUGAAGAAGGAGCAACUCCCCAUUACACCAUGAUGUUCCCUUUUCCCCAAAGGAAAUCACUUCCUCACAGAACAUUCUGUUUCUUCCAUUUCUUCUUCAAACAGCCAUUGUCCUCUUCCAUCACUUGUCAUCACUGGCCAUGAAUUGACUCGCAGAGCUUAAAUCACUCACCCAGGAGCCUAAAUACUGGAACUUACUACACAGAUAGAUUAGGAUACCCAAGUUCAAAAUCAAUCAUGUUUUUCUUUCUUUCUUUUUUUUUUAGGGUGAGGAAAACAUCCUGUGAGUCCAUCUAUGGCUAGUUUAAGUUUUUUUCCAGUAAGUUGCACUUGAGAUCAUAUUGGCCAGGGUUGAUAUUAGAACAUUCAUCUUUUACUCAACCCUAUGACAGAGAAAUUUAUCAAUUCCCAGAGCAACUCUAUCUGUUUAUAAAAAUUGGUGAGGUUUUAAGGCCAGGUUCUGUCAGAAAUAGCCUCCUAUUGUAAGAAUUGAAGAUUCUAAUCAUCUUUGAGUCAUAUUUUACAUAGAGGGAGCCCGAGUCCUUAUAGGGUUGGUAAGACUCCAGUUUUUUUCUUUCUCUCUUUUUUUUUUUAGUGGAUUGUGAACUCCAGAGUUUGGGUCCCCAGGCAAGGUAUUUGGUAGGGUUGCUCUUAGUAUAAGCUGAGUAUUUAGUGAUGUUUCUGGAUCCAAGGAUUCCUGGUGUACACAUAUGUGUAUGCAAACACACACACACACACACACACACACACA
rnacentral:lncRNA from 10 species